AAGGGUAUAGGGAAAGGAAAGAAUAAGAAUGUAUCAAAUUUGUAAUAACUAGAUUGUAAUUUGGAAGUUUAAUGUAAAAAAAACUGUGAUGUAAAAAUGUAAACUGGUGAAUGCUUGUAAUAAUUUAGUUGUUUAUGUUUGAUACUUCCUUAUGCAAUCUAUACUUGAUUUCUGUUCCUGGUUGGAAUAUCGUGAAUUGUAUUGAUUGCAACGCCUAGGACGUAUAGGAAAAACUCUGUCCGUUCGGCGGUCUGUCGGCGUGCCCGAACCUGACCAAAUAGGCAGGGCCCGGGGCAUGACAGAUAAG
rnacentral:lncRNA from 1 species